rnacentral:rRNA from 1 species
GCGUGGGGAAUAUUGGACAAUGGGCGCAAGCCUGAUCCAGCCAUGCCGCGUGGGUGAAGAAGGCCUUCGGUUGUAAGCCCUUUAGGUGGGGAGGGAAGGGCAUUCAUGCUAAUACCAUGGAUGAUUGACGUUACCCACAGAAUAAGCACCGGCUAACUCCGUGCCAGCAGCCGCGGUAAUACGGAGGGUGCAAGCGUUAAUCGGAAUUACUGGGCGUAAAGCGCACGUAGGCGGUUUGACAAGUGGGAUGUGAAAGCCCUGGGCUCAACCUGGGAACUGCAUCCCAAACUGUCAGGCUAGAGUAUGGUAGAGGGGGGCGGAAUUCCCGGUGUAGCGGUGAAAUGCGUAGAGAUCGGGAGGAACAUCAGUGGCGAAGGCGGCCCCCUGGACUGAUACUGACGCUGAGGUGCGAAAGCGUGGGGGAUCAAACAGGAUUAGAUACCCUGGUAGUCCACGCUGUAAACGAUGAGAACUGGCCGUCGGGCCCUUCGGGGGUUUGGUGGCGGUAGGCUAACGCGCUAAGUUCUCCGCCUGGGG